rnacentral:rRNA from 1 species
GUGGGGAAUCUUGCGCAAUGGGCGAAAGCCUGACGCAGCCAUGCCGCGUGAAUGAUGAAGGUCUUAGGAUUGUAAAAUUCUUUCACCGGGGACGAUAAUGACGGUACCCGGAGAAGAAGCUCCGGCUAACUUCGUGCCAGCAGCCGCGGUAAUACGAAGGGGGCUAGCGUUGCUCGGAAUUACUGGGCGUAAAGGGCGCGUAGGCGGACAGCUUAGUCAGAGGUGAAAGCACAGGGCUCAACCUUGGAAUUGCCUUUGAUACUGGCUGUCUUGAGUUUGGGAGAGGUGAGUGGAACUCCGAGUGUAGAGGUGAAAUUCGUAGGUAUUCGGAAGAACACCAGUGGCGAAGGCGACUCACUGGCCCGUUACUGACGCUGAGGCGCGAAAGCGUGGGGAGCAAACAGGAUUAGAUACCCGGGUAGUCC